ACGAACGCUGGCGGCGUGCCUAAUACAUGCAAGUAGAACGCUGAAGGAGGAGCUUGCUCUUCUGGAUGAGUUGCGAACGGGUGAGUAACGCGUAGGUAACCUGCCUGGUAGCGGGGGAUAACUAUUGGAAACGAUAGCUAAUACCGCAUAACAGUAGAUGUUGCAUGACAUUUACUUAAAAGGUGCAAUUGCAUCACUACCAGAUGGACCUGCGUUGUAUUAGCUAGUUGGUGGGGUAACGGCUCACCAAGGCGACGAUACAUAGCCGACCUGAGAGGGUGAUCGGCCACACUGGGACUGAGACACGGCCCAGACUCCUACGGGAGGCAGCAGUAGGGAAUCUUCGGCAAUGGACGGAAGUCUGAACGAGCAACGCCGCGUGAGUGAAGAAGGUUUUCGGAUCGUAAAGCUCUGUUGUAAGAGAAGAACGAGUGUGAGAGUGGAAAGUUCACACUGUGACGGUAUCUUACCAGAAAGGGACGGCUAACUACGUG
rnacentral:rRNA from 1 species